GAUGAACGCUAGCGGGAGGCUUAACACAUGCAAGUCGAGGGGCAGCAUAGGGUAGCAAUACUCUGAUGGCGACCGGCAAACGGGUGAGUAACGCGUAUGCAACCUACCCUGUACAGGGGGAUAACCCGGAGAAAUUCGGACUAAUAUCCCGUAAUAAUAUCCGGAGGCAUCUUUGGAUAUUUAAAGUUCCGACGGUACGGGAUGGGCAUGCGUAACAUUAACUGGUUGGUAAGGUAACGGCUUACCAAGGCUAUGAUGUUUAGGGGUCCUGAGAGGGUGGUCCCCCACACUGGUACUGAGACACGGACCAGACUCCUACGGGAGGCAGCAGUGAGGAAUAUUGGUCAAUGGGCGCAAGCCUGAACCAGCCAUCCCGCGUGCAGGAAGACGGCCCUAUGGGUUGUAAACUGCUUUUCCAGGGAGAGAAACUUACGCACGUGUUGCGUGACUGACGGUACCCUGGGAAUAAGCAUCGGCUAACUCCGUGCCAGCAGCCGCGGUAAACACUA
rnacentral:rRNA from 1 species